GAUGAACGCUGGCGGCGUGCCUAAUACAUGCAAGUCGAGCGAACAGACGAGGAGCUUGCUCCUCUGACGUUAGCGGCGGACGGGUGAGUAUCACGCGGAUAAACUAUCUAUAAGACUGGGAUAACUCCGGGAAACCGGAGCUAAUAUCGGAUAAUAUAUUGAACUGCAUGGUUCAAUAGUGAAAGACGGUUUUGUUGUCACUUAUAGAUGGAUCCGCGCCGCAUUAGCUAGUUGGUAAGGUAACGGCUUACCAAGGCAACGAUGCGUAGCCGACCUGAGAGGGUGAUCGGCCACACUGGAACUGAGACACGGUCCAGACUCCUACGGGAGGCAGCAGUAGGGAAUCUUCCGCAAUGGGCGAAAGCCUGACGGAGCAACGCCGCGUGAGUGAUGAAGGUCUUCGGAUCGUAAAACUCUGUUAUUAGGGAAGAACAAGUGUGUAAGUAACUGUGCGCGUCUUGACGGUACCUUAUCAGAAAGCCACGGCUAACUACGUG
rnacentral:rRNA from 1 species